rnacentral:rRNA from 1 species
UACAGAGGGGGCAAGCGUUAUUCGGAAUUAUUGGGCGUAAAGGGCGCGUAGGCGGCUUUGCAAGUGACGGGUGAAAUCCCUCGGCUUAACCGAGGAACUGCCUGUCAGACUGCAUGGCUUGAGACCAGGAGAGGUGAGUGGAAUUCCCAGUGUAGCGGUGAAAUGCGUAGAUAUUGGGAAGAACACCUGAGGCGAAGGCGGGUUGCUGGGCUGAUACUGACGCUGAGGAGCGAAAGCAUGGGGAGCGAACAGG